CACGUAGGGAGCAAGCGUUGUCCGGAUUUAUUGGGCGUAAAGAGCUCGUAGGUGGUUCCGUAAGUCAGGUGUGAAACCUCCAGGCUCAACCUGGAGACGCCACCUGAUACUGCGGUGACUGGAGUCCGGUAGGGGAGCGUGGAAUUCCGGGUGUAGCGGUGGAAUGCGUAGAGAUCCGGAGGAACACCAGUGGCGAAGGCGAUCUGCUAGGCCUGACCUGACACUCAGACGCGACAGCAUGGGGAGCGAACGGG
rnacentral:rRNA from 1 species